AAAGGUAUGUAUUUUAUAUAUUUAGAAUAUAAUGUUAGUAUACUUUUAUUUUAUAUUAUGUGUCAUUUAAUAUAUUAGGAAAGAAGUGAAAAGAAUAAAAAUGCUAGAAAGCAAAGGAUAAUGAAUCAGACCACGGGAAGGACAUCUUUUUCUCAAGUGCAACAAACAUUGGUAGAUCUUUUUAUCAUAUUAUAAUUUUAUGUGCAUCUAAUUAUAGAAAUUAGUAACUAAAUAUAUUUUCAGGAAAAAGAAAAGGGACAUCCUCCAACACGAGUUGAAUUAUUUCAUGCUUGUUUUACUCAUGCUAAUGGAAGUCCCUCAAGUAAUAUUGUAAAAGAAAGAUUGGCUGCAAUGAAAGAACUAGAAAAUCAACUUCCUGAAGAUUACAAUGAUCAAGUGAGCCAGAAUGAUAUAUUUGCUCAAACAUGGGACCAGAUAAACCCGGUCGAGUACAUAUGCUUGGUGAUGGAAUUAGCCCAUCUGAUUUAUGGGGAGUAGUUCCUAGUCGUGGCACAUGCAAUCGACUAGUUAUGGAACAGAAUGCAAAGUUAGAACAGAUGAAUGAACAAAUCAAAAAGCAAGGCCAACAUAUUACAAUGUUAGAAACAAAGAUUUCUGAACAAUCAAGCACAAAUCCUCUUUCAAAUUGUAAUAAUAGUCAACACACUUCAUCGAGUAGCAAUCCACAAGGUUCUAUUCCAUCUCAUCGAACCUUACAUGAGUGCUCCUCAACAUGGAUCCAAAUAAUAUAGUAGGGAGACAAAAACUAGGACCAAAUUGGUGUGAAGUACAAGUACUAGUUGUCCUAGAACCCGAAGAAAAUUUAAUUAGACCUUAUGAUCUUUUACAAAGGUUUGAGGAUA